rnacentral:tRNA from 1 species
GACACCAUAGCUCAACCGGUAGAGCAAACGUUUCAUAAGCGUUAGGUUAACAGUUCGAGUCUGUUUUUUGUC